GUUGAACGAUCCUAUCUCUGCUUGCANAGAAUUGAAGAGUAUCGACCGGGUGAUCAUCACGUGGGUGACACUGCCCAUGAGAUGGGGAUAUCAUUCUGGAAACUGAUGCUAAUACCGCAUAAUGCUUUGGACCGCCUGGUCCAGAGACGAAAGACGGCUUUUGCUGUCACUCAUGGAUGGCCCCGCGCCGUAUAAGCUAGUUGGUGAGGUAAUGGCUCACCAAAUCUGUGAUAUGUAGCCGACCUGAUAUGGUGAUCGGCCUCUCUGGGACUGAUACACGGCCCAUACUCCUACGGGAGGCAGCAGUAUGGAAUCUUCCACAAUGGGCGAAAGCCUGAUGGAGCAAUGCCGCGUGAAUGAAGAAUGCCUUCUGAUCGUAAAGUUCUGUUAUUAGAGACGAACACGUCACUGAUUAACUGUCUUGACUUUGACGGUACCUAACCAUAAAGUCACGGCUAACUACGUGCCAGCAGCCGCGGUAAU
rnacentral:rRNA from 1 species